rnacentral:misc_RNA from 1 species
CGCACCUUGCGCCCAGUGGUAUUCCGCCGGGCACGCCUGUUUGAGUGUCACGUUAACCAUCGCGCACGUGGAUGUCACCCGUCUUCGUCGCGGAUUUGGACGUUGCCGUCGUUGGGCUCGUCUCGAAAUGCAUUAGCUGUCAAAGGACCCGCGCCAUUGGUGUGAUAAAUUAUCUGCGCCUGCGGUGUUGCGUCCGGUCGGCGGCUCACAAACCGUCCGUGAGGACAAUCGCCUUUUAAAUGCUCUGGCCUCAAAUCAGGUGGGACUACCCGCUGAACUUAA